rnacentral:rRNA from 1 species
UUGACAUCCAGCGAACUUUCCGAGAGAUGGGAUUGGUGCCUUCGGGAACGCUGAGACAGGUGCUGCAUGGCUGUCGUCAGCUCGUGUUGUGAAAUGUUGGGUUAAGUCCCGNAACGAGCGCAACCCUUAUCCUUUGUUGCCAGCGAUUCGGUCGGGAACUCAAAGGAGACUGCCGGUGAUAAACCGGAGGAAGGUGGGGAUGACGUCAAGUCAUCAUGGCCCUUACGAGUAGGGCUACACACGUGCUACAAUGGCGCAUACAAAGAGAAGCGACCUCGCGAGAGCAAGCGGACCUCAUAAAGUGCGUCGUAGUCCGGAUCGGAGUCUGCAACUCGACUCCGUGAAGUCGGAAUCGCUAGUAAUCGUGGAUCAGAAUGCCACGGUGAAUACGUUCCCGGGCCUUAUACACACCGCCCGUCACACCAUGGGAGUGGGUUGCAAAAGAAGUAGGUAGCUUAACCUUCGGGAGGGCGCUUACCACUUUGUGAUUCAUGACUGGGGUGAAGUCGUAACAAGGUAGGCGUAGCGAG